UACGUAGGUGGCAAGCGUUGUCCGGAUUUAUUGGGUUUAAAGGGUGCGUAGGUGGUCUAUUAAGUCAGUGCUGAAAUAUCCCGGCUUAACCGGGAGGGUGGCAUUGAUACUGAUGGACUUGAGUAAAGUUGAGGUUGGCGGAAUUGACGGUGUAGCGGUGAAAUGCUUAGAUAUCGUCAAGAAUACCUAUUGCGAAGGCAGCUAACUAAGCUUUAACUGACACUGAGGCACGAAAGUGUGGGGAUCAAACAGG
rnacentral:rRNA from 1 species